GACGAACGCUGGCGGCGUGCUUAACACAUGCAAGUCGAACGGAAAGGCCCCUUUGGGGGUCCUCGAGUGGCGAACGGGUGAGUAACACGUGAGUAACCUGCCCUUGACUUCGGGAUAACUUACUGUAACUGAGGCUAAUACCGGAUAGGAAUCCUUGCUGCAUGGUGGGGGUUGGAAAGAUUCGGCGGUUUUGGAUGGAAUCGCGGCUUAUCAGCUUGUUGGUGGGGUAGUGGCUUACCAAGGCUUUGACGGGUAGCCGGCCUGAGAGGGCGACCGGCCACAUUGGGACUGAGGUACGGCCCAGACGCCUACGGGAGGCAGCAGUGGGGAAUAUUGCACAAUGGGCGGGAGCCUGAGGCAGCAACGCCGCGUGCGGGAUGACGGGCUUCGGGUUGUAAACCGCUUUCAGCAGGGGCGGAGCUUGUGGUGACGGUACCUUCAGAAGAAGCACCGGCUAACUACGUG
rnacentral:rRNA from 1 species